GGUCUCCUUACAAAGACAAGCGGCCGGUCUCUGCCAGCUCACUUUAAGAGCUUUGUGAAAAACAACCCCAGCGCGCAUGCGUGGCGCUUGGGCUUCUUGCCUCUCGUACAGUAGGCGUAAGAGAGCAGCACUCCUUGACGGCUAGCAACGCAGGUCUUGCUGUACCUUCCUUGCCUGUGUGGAAAGCUAACCUCGAGGAAGACGUUCCACAGCUUAGAAGACAGCAGCCGCAGAAGAACAAGAAGAAGAUUGUUGCUUUAUUGUGAAAACAAGACUGAUGAAAGAGCGAGUGGGAACAGUGCCGAUCUUAGGGGUGAUGGGGGCAUUGGCCUUGCGGGAGGGGCAAGUCACAAGUGGGGCAUUGCUCCGUGUUCCCCCAGCCCCACAUCAGCGGCAAGGAGAUUCCAGGCAGGACUCUCCCGCUCCCCAGAGCAAGUGAACGAUGGGGCUGCUGCCUGCAUCUGGCGAGGGCUGUGCUUUGCCCGCGGUGUGAAGAUUUCUCCCCAUCACCAGCCCAAAGCCUGGUUCCUGCCUGUCGCAGCAACUUGCCCUCCAACUCUGCCAGGCCCUACAACGCUGCCAGCCAGAGCACGGUGCUCUUGCUCGGCAAACUAGACUAGAGCAUGCUGUAAGGCUGGCUGUGUUGGAGGGUGGCUGCUGCAGUGGGAGCUGCACUCCCCCAGUGGCUGCAGCCUACAGAUCCUGCCUGUCCAGAGUGCGGUUCCUGCCUGUUGCAGCAGCUACUCUCCAAUGCUGCCAUCCUACGCUCUUCUCAGAAAACAGCGUGCCUCAGGGAUGGCAGAGUCAGAGGGUGGCUGCUGCACAGAGGUGCUUUUAUCUCUGGACUUUGGGGCAAGGUACAGGGCUUCCACACCCCUUGCCCACCCCUCACCACCAAAUUCUCUUUAGUCUGUCUUGGGCAAUGUGGUUGCAGCACUGCACUGGGCGGCGAAAUGCGAUUGUGACCUGUGAUGGGUGUUUUAGGGGGAAAGAAAAAUGUGGGAUAGGAAUAUGUUAAGUUGCAUGUUGAAAUGUUUCUGUUAAUGCAUGUUUGCAUAAAUAUAACUGUUUUGUAUUCUUACAUGCUUGUGAGUUCAGUUGUUUGUGCCCUCAAUUACCCCAAAAAUACUGCGUGUGUUGUGUGCGAGUGUAGGGGGAUGAUGCUUAACUUGCAGCAAGGGGGCAACAGCAGCUCCAAAGCCCUUUAGGUCCACCUCUGCUGCUGUGGCACUGAUCUUUCCCAUCACCACUGGUCCAGAGCAUGGCUCUUUCACAGCAGCUCCCCGCCCCCGAACCUUGCAGUGGAAUCACAGUGUCCCCUGAGGCUUGCUGAGCCAGAGCACAACUGCUGCAGCAGGCAGAAGCUGUGGUCCACCAGUGGUGAUGGUGUGGAGAUUUCCCAUUCCUGCUAGCCCAAAGUGCUGCUCCUCCCUGCCUGUCGUAGUGGCUGCCCUCCAACUUGGCCGAGCCCUGAGGUACACUCUUCUCAGCAAACUGGAGUGUGCAGUGGGUAAGAGGGUGGCUGCUGCGGCCGGCGGGCGGGAAAUGCCAGGACAGCGGCACGGUUAUUUCCCACAGCUACCAAUCCAAAGCGUAGCUCCUGCUUAUCGCAACAGCUGCCCUCCAACUUGGCUGGGCCCUGCGGCAUGUUCUACUCGGCAAACCAGAGUGUGCUGUGGGGAUGGCUGAGCCGGAGGGUGUCUGCUGUGGCAGGCGGCAGAGUGGAUGUUCCCCCCACCACCACUGCCCCAGAUUGCCUAUUCCAUCUGUCAUAGCAGCUGCCCUCCAAUGCGGCCAAGUCCUCUGGCAUGCUCUGCUUGGCAAACCAGAGCACGCCACAGGGCUGGCUGAGUUGGAGGGUGGCUGCCGUGGUGGCCUGAGUGUGCCAGCAGUGGUGGUACACCUAUUUCUCACUGCCACUGACUUGGAGUGCGGCUCCCACCUGUCAAAGUGGUUGCCCUCCAACUGAGCUGGGCCCCCGCGGCAUGGCAUGCUCUGCUCGGCAAACCAGAGCAGGCCGCAGGGUUGUCUGGUGGACGGUUGCUGGGUGGGUGCAGUGCUCCAGGUGGCAGAGGUGGGAAGCGGGAGAUUCCAGGCAGGGAUCUCUGUCAGUGCCCCUGUCUCUGUGCUGCUGUUGCCUCUCUUCCCCAGGGCCCCACACCCCCACUUGCCCUGAGCUGCCCCCAACCCUCCCAGCUUUCUAGAGUUUCUCCUCUCAGAGUACAGUCUUCGCCUUUUCUGGGAUUUUUCACCUCCUCAUUUAUUCCAACUUGGGGCACAGCAAGGAGAAGCUCCUCUGUCACCAUGAAGAGAGACCUUGCCAGGCUCUCUCCCCACCCCUCCUAUCUUCUAAUCAGGAAGAGUGGCAGGCAGGUAGGAGAGAGAACCUCCCUGAAUUCCCCCCCCCCCCAGCAUUUCCUUUAUAAUAACUUUUUAUUUAAAAAGACAGAACAAGGAAUUGGGUUGCUAGAGGAAAGAGUUCAAGCAUAAAAGGGGAAACAAAACAUUUUGGCUAACUCCUAACACCUAUCUAAUAGUCCAUCCGAGUACUGGAGGCAGAAUCUCAUCCAAGUCUUGGUCCAGCUAUAGAUGGAAAACAAACAGACAACCAACAUGCAUUCAGAAAUGUUUUUUCAAGCUCCCCCAAGCGAGUGGGGAGGAAGCUUUCCUUCAGUCAGAUGAUGCAAGCCAGAUAGGGGUGGCUGUCACUAGCUUAUGCAAAGGGAAGUCAAGGCUUCCUUAUCCUUCAGGUCCCCCAAUGUCUGUCAUCCCUAGAGAGAUCAAGGAAUUCGGGGUGGGGAUUUUAAAAGGGGUGCUGAGAUCCUGGAAAUCCAAUCUGCCGUGUAAGUACUCUGAUGGACUAUUAGGCUAGUGUUAGGAGUUAACCAAAAUAUUUUGUUUUCCUUUUUCAUCUAGUGUGAAACAGUUUUAGUGCAUAAUGGAGUGUCAGAUUCUGACGGGAUUGGUUAUAUGAUGAAUGUGAUCUGGUCACUUUGAGCUCCUGGGGGUUCAAAGCUAGAGAGGUAAUGCUCUUUCUCUGCAGCAGGUUGACUACAAGAGCUUCCAAGGGCUUAAAAAUCCCAAAGUGCUGGAAUGGAGUGCAAGGGUUUAAAGGAGGCAGGGGAGGUGUUUUUCCAUGGCUGUUCUGAUCUGGAUAAUUCAGAGCAGUGUGUUUCAUUGCAGCUUUUAAAAAAUCCUAAUGUGCUGGAGACAACUGAUUCCAUAUUCCUUCAUAAUGCUGGAAGAUAGAUUCCUAAAUUUAAAUCAUGUACUAAGAAGCAAACUCCAGUGAAGUGCAUGCAAACUGUUGACAAGUACCUUGCAGCCUGAAAACCUUGGUUCCUGUGCUCAUGUUUUCCUUGGAGUAAUCAAUUACAUGUGAGGAGAGAAUCCCAAGGAAGUCUAACACAGACAUUUUGAACUUCAGAAGAUGAAACUUCUCUAAAAUGGGACCAGCUGGGAGAGGCAGUACCCGAUAACCAGUGAUCAACUAGGACCUGCUCCUGAUUCAUCUGGAUUGCCCCCUUCGUGGAAGACUGAAGUGCCCUGUGUGAGAGAACCAUGAGAGGGCCAUAUGCAGAGAAACAAAACUUUCUUAAUGUGGGGGGCUUUGUUUUUGCUUUAAUACUGAUGUACCAGGAAUUUAUUUAGUUUUGUUUUUAACCAGAAUCCCUAAAGUGGCUCUCAAUACUUCUACAAUAGAACAGAUACAUUAACAACUCUACACUUUAAAAAGUAAAACCAGAACAGAAAUUGAGACAGUUUUGAGAUGGAGAGUGGGGAGAGGGAAGACGAGAGAUUAAAAACAGAAUUUUACAAUACUGAACUCAGCUGAGGAUGACACCUCAUGCAUCUAACAAAGCAGACACAAAAGUUUAUGCCACAAUAAAUCUUUAAGGUGCUGCUGUUUUUGAUAAUCAUUAGGCAUUAGCCACAAUGCUAAUCCUCUCUAAUAAAAGCCUUGGUGUCCGUCCGUGGACGGACACCAAGGCGUGUGUUCGUGCCUCCCUGGCCUGUUCUGCGCCUGCGCAAAGCGCAGGCGCAGAUCAGGGCAAGGGAGACACGACGGCCGGCACCCGGUGGCCAUCUUGGGCGGCCAGAAGCGGCCGCCCCGAAAAAGCAGGGUGAGCGGCGCCGGCGAACACUGGCCGCCGCCGCCUUGCCCAGAGGACACCCGCGGCGACAAGGGAGAGGCCCCAGGGAGCGGAGGACCUGGCCAGAGCUGCGGGCGGCGGCGGGUGGCGGGCCCGCUGGAGCCGCGGGCCGCCGCGGCGGUGGGUGGCGGGCCCGCCGGAGCCCUGGGUGGCCGCCCUGGCCGGAGACACGGGCCGCGGUGGGUGGCGGGAGGGGGAAUGGCGGCGGAGGCCCAGACCGCCGCAGGGAGACGGAGGCCGGGACCGGGGGCCGAGCGAAGGCCGAAGUAAACAGAAAAGCAAAAAUACAGCCUCCGCCGCUGC